rnacentral:rRNA from 1 species
GUUUGAUCCUGGCUCAGAACGAACGCUGGCGGCGUGCUUAACACAUGCAAGUCGAACGGAGUUAAUCAGCAGCACCGAGAGCUGAAGGGAAGGCAUAGGUCGUAUAAGACUUAUAGGCCGUAUGUUUUUUAAUUUCAGUUUUCAGUGCUGUUGGUUAACUUAGUGGCGGACGGGUGAGUAACACGUAGGUAACCAACCCUAGAGCGGGGGACAACCCAGGGAAACUUGGGCUAAUACCGCAUAAGACCACGAUCUGGAAGGAUUGUGGUAAAAGCAGCAAUGCACUUUAGGAUGGGCCUGCGGCCUAUCAGGUAGUUGGUUAGGUAAUGGCCCACCAAGCCUAAGACGGGUAGCCGGACUGAGAGGUUGAACGGCCACACUGGAACUGAGAUACGGUCCAGACUCCUACGGGAGGCAGCAGUGGGGAAUUUUGCGCAAUGGGCGAAAGCCUGACGCAGCGACGCCGCGUGGAGGAUGAAGGUUUUCGGAUUGUAAACUCCUUUUGUAGGGGAAGAUGAUGACGGUACCCUAUGAAUAAGCCACGGCUAACUCUGUGCCAGCAGCCGCGGUGAGACAGAGGUGGCAAGCGUUGUUCGGAAUGACUGGGCUUAAAGGGCGCGUAGGUGGUGGCAUAAGUCCGAGGUGGAAGGCUAAGGC